GUGCCUUUCUGCUGGUGGUGCUGUGGGUUACUGUUGCUCUGGACCGGGUGCUUCUGCUCUGAAAUUUUUGGGACAGAUUUGAAGGCUAUUGCUACUGUCGCUAGCAGUGAUGAGCAGCCGGCUUCCAGUGUGGUUGGUGUUACUGUGCUGUCAGAAAUAGCAAUUCCUACAUGGAAAAGGAUGGAAGUGUGGAGCAGUAGCGUUGCAAAACAGGACCAGCUGAACCAGCAGCUUAGAUCCGCUGGGGCCUGCCGUGCUCAGGACACAUCAGGACUGCCAGCAUAGGAUGAUGUCACCGCUACAGAAACUGAAGUGGGAUCCUGCAGCAAUUCAGCCUCAAAAGUCUCAGACCGCAUCUCUAGUAAGAACACUUGUGCUGAGAGACUUCUUUUCUGUAAGCAAGGAACAGUUUUCCCCUUUGAGAAAUUUCAUUCUCUUCCACAUUAACUGAGGUGGGUUAAUGACAGAUGGAUCUCCCUACAGUUUGGAGAAAAGCAAAAUGAAUGAUUACGCUGAUGAUCUUGAUACAUCCAAAAUUUUGAAGGGGAUGCAUUUUCUUAUGAUUACCCCACUCAGCUGUUGCAAUGCUUGCUCUUCGUAAUCCAGUUGUCUCUUCAGUUUCAAACUAUUAGACAAAGCAAUUCUUGCUGGGUUUAUAUCUAUGCCUCGUUGCCCCAAACCAUCCAGCGGCCUGUUGAAAAAAGAUCUCUGGGUGAGUAAGAAGGCAAAUCUAAACCGUCUUUUUAAUUUAUACAGAUUCUUCUUUCAUCUAUUUCAUUUAAGAUGCCUUUGACACAUGACACUGUACGUUGAAUGUCUUUGUUUCCUUUUGUCAGUCAUCCCACAAGCUUUGGGAACACUUUACUUUGGGGAUCAAAGGCUAGCAUAAACAGCCUCUAAAAUCUCCAGCCAGGCGUAAAAAUAAUAUGGAAAAGAGUCAUGAGAUUUUUAAUCUUAGGAUUCUGAAAGCCAUGCCUGUCUCCUUGCUAAGCACAAACACGAGUUAUAUGUAUUCAAGAUAUCUACCCCUUUCUGCCCAGAUAUUUUCUAAGUGUAACGCAUGGAAAACAUGAAUUCUUACCUUUUUUUAUAUAUGGGCAUGUUGGGAGAACGCACUGGGGGUCCUGAGGGGGAACUUGAUAGGGUUCCUGAGUAUUUAUCCAUGAGUCUCCAUUUAGAAGGAACAUAUUCUAAUGGCGGAUCAGGUGGCCACUGGGUGUUUGGUCUACCCCCCAUCGAAGACAGCGGAGUGCUGGCUUGGUUGUGGUAUGGUGGCAAUGAUGACCUACUCAUAUUGUUGAAGAACACCGAUGAUAGGGACCCAUGACCAGGGUUAAUGUUUUUAUUUGAUAGUUGUGGGCAAUAUUUCUCUGGGAGGAACUGAUUCUGUGAAGCAGAAGCAAGAGGUUGGAAAAUGGUACUCAUGCUACUUAGACUCUGCUGGGUAUUUUGUGCACUUUCAGAGAGAGUACGUUCUUCUUGGCAGAUAGGGCUGAGCUGGAAAUCUUCUCCAUCCAUAGGAAUGUAAGGAGCUAAGGUUUCAAGGUCCAGUUCAUUGAAGUCAGUCUGCACAAAAAUGAAACAAGUUCAUGAGAAACCUAGAAGUUAAUAAUAGUUGUGGCACUGUGAUGUGAAAUACUAGUUGGGAGACAUGAAGCUAAAAAAAAUCACUGUAUGCCAAAUUUAUGUAAAGGAAAGUGGCCAGCUUCUCCAUAUUAAAAAAAAAAAACCAAAAAACAACACUAUUGCUAUGAAUUGCACAUAUGUUGUACUCAUUUUGGCUCAUAUAGAGUUAAUCUUAUUCACAGUAGCUCAUACAGUAUUAUAUUUUGUACUUGUGAUCAAUGUUUUAGCUAUUGCUUAGUAGUGCUUUCAAAGAGUCAAGGCUUUCUCAGUUCCUCACCUUGCCCCACCAGUGGAGUAGGUUGGUGGUGCACAAGAAGUUGGGAGGGAGCAAAGCUAGGACAGCUGACCCCAGAUGACCAAAAGGAUAUCCCAUACUGAAUGGCAUUAUGCUAAGCAAUAAGAGCUGGGGGAAAGAAGGAGAAGCUGGGAAGCAUUCAGAAUUAUAGUGUUCGUCUUCCCAAGAAACUGCUACAUGUGAUGGAGCACUGUUUUCCUGGAAAUGGCUGAACAGCUGCCUGCCAAUGAGAAGUAGUGAAUGAAUUCCUUAUUUUGCUUUGCUUGCACGUGUAGCUUUUGCUUUUGCAAACUAAGCUGUCUUUAUCUCAACCCAAGAGUUUUCACAGUUUUACCCUUCCAAUUCUCUUGCUCAUCCUACUGGAGGGAGAGAGCAAGUGGCUGCAUGGGUCUAGCUGUCUUGUGUAGUCAACUGACAACAUUUUUCAUUUUGAGGUUUUACAGGAGUUAAUUUACCUAUAUUUUGUUCUAGAAACAAUGUUUACUCACUAGUCCUCAGGCCAGAUGAAAAAAGAAAACAAACCAGGCUGCUGCUUCUAUUUGUUAUCCAGUAUACACAAGCACCCAAUUUCUGAAGCUCUGCUUCUCUCUUUUCAGCAAUGCCACAGUGACACCUCCAAGGUAAUUGCUUCAUAUCGUUAGGGAUAGAAGUGGACACCUCAGCUUUUUGAAGCAUAUGCUUGUGUUAGUGCAGUGCAUCAAAGUUUUAGUGUACAUUUUAUGACACUGUAUCUGAAUGCAUCUCUACUAUUGUCUGCUAACAGAGGGCCAAUUUUCAUGGUUCUGGGAGAGAUAGCUUCUUACCUGAGAGUUGCACUGACUUUUUGAUUCUGUGUCCAUGGCAAAGAGUUUUUCAAUCACCUCAAUCUUAAGAUCAUCAUCCACAGAAGUGUAGUAAUCCUCCGGGCUGUUUGGCUGCACGGAAAUAACAAUUUGCUAUAAGAAGCCAAGACAACUACAGUGCUGGAUUAGCACACUUACGUAACUACAUUUCUAUCACAUCAUUUCCUCCAACAUCAAAUUACUUGUCACUAUAAACUUGGAGAGCCAUAGUGAUUUAACAGAGGCACCCAAUACAAUAACUUAGUUGUCCUGUUAAAUGUUUUUUUUUGGCACAUCAUACUAAUACAUGAGAUGUGUGUUAUUCAAUUAUUUUGUCAAGAAAAAAACCACUUUGCACUACCUCAACGAUUUUAUUAAAAUCGGACAUAAAAUUGCUUUGAGUUAGAAGGGACUGCUAAAAGCCCUGCAAUGAACACCUACAGAGACACCUACAGCAAGAUUGUGCUGUUCAGAGCCUGGUCCAACCUGACCCCGAAUGUCUCUGAAAUCCAGUAGAGUCCUAGCCUAGUAGUCAUCUAGUAAAGUUCUGAUAAGAGUGGCUCUAGCACUUGAGGGCAGUGCCCUGGAAACCUCGUUCAUUCUUUCAGCAAUAAACACUGUGGAGCCAUUCUCAAAGGACUGAGUUGGGUAAACUUUCUUGAUAAGGACUAUAGUUUCUAGUAAACAAACAGAAAGAGGACUGGCCUGAGGGGAAUUUUGCUAAUGACCAGACCAUUCAACAUUGGAGUUUCGUUUAAGGCUAAUUCCAUGCAAGAUGGUAGCAAGUUCAACUACUAGCUGGUUUAUAGACUAUCAUAAUUGCUUAGUGAGACAGAGGAAAACAAGGAAUGCAAUAUAAAGGUGAGAUAUAGUUUCCAUCUGAUGUUUUUGCUAUCGAUGCUUUUCUACACAAACAGCAUAGGAUAAAAAUACACAUACAGUAGGGAUAUAGAUAUGCUGGGCUUGUUGCAAUCAUAGAGACAGGACUGCUACAGUGAAAAUGUCAUCUUCAUAUUCUGAUGGGAUUUGCAUAGAGAACAUAACUUCUGCAUUUUUUAAAGCUUUUCUUACCGUGGAACAGCUACUGUUGCUGCUUGCACUUGGAGUACUGCUGCCAGGUGCAAUCUGUGGCAUUGUAAAGGAUGGUAUUGUCAGCGUUUCACCUUGAGCAGCAUGGCUUUUCACUUCUACUGGCCACGGUUUGUUUGGUGUCAAAACAGCGCUCGUAUAGGCAGGGGCUUCCUCAAACUUCUGUAUCCCUGGAUGGAGUUCAAAAUCCAGGGAAAUAAUGGCAUCUCCAGGUGUUGGAGCCAGUUGUGCAAGUUCCUCCGGUUCUUCUUUUAGCUUAGUAAACAAUAAAUCACUCUUGUCCCUCCCUGAGAUCCCAUUCUCAAAGGCACUGCUCAUCGUCAACAGGUGAGGCUUGAAGAGCGAUUCCGUUUGGUCCAUAGAGAAGACAAUAUCAUUCUUCUCAAUUUCACUCAGCACAUAGUUGACACAGAUGAUACACUGAGGCUGUAGGUUGCGCGUGUUGUAAAUGACAGUCCCUUGAGUUUCCAGCCACACGUAUCCACCAUGCUUGGCAAGCAUACGGUACUGGCCAGUCACUACUUGACCUUUUGUACACAAGUUCUGAUGACUUUUGGUCAUGUUCUCUGAGUCCAAGGCAUGGUAG
rnacentral:lncRNA from 1 species